rnacentral:ncRNA from 2 species
AGAAGUCUUUGUGGCAGGGUGCAAGUCCCUACCGAUGGUAUAGUCCAUGACCCGCGUAAAGCGGCUGAUCUGGUGACCCGUAAAGGGAAUUCCAGAACCGACGGUAUAGUCCGGAUGAGAAAAGACAUUU